UGCUAUGCUAAGAGCUCUGGAUACCGAUUGCGGGCAGGGGCAAGGUGCCCUGGCUCCUCGGUGGGUCCUUUGAACACAGAUCACGUGGUCUCUGAUUCGCAAUUCAGGGAGUCCCCACCUGCUGUCAUUAAAAAUAUGUAUGUUGCCGACCUUAUUUCUUAGAGCAGUUUCCAGUUUACAGAAAAACUGGGCAGAAAGUACAGAGAGUUCUCCUAUACCCUCUCACCUUACCCCCCCGCCCCAGUUUCCGCGUCAUUCACACCUUGCACUAGUGUGGUAUAUUUGUUAAAAUUGGUGAAUGCAUAUUGAUACGUUAUUAAUACCCUGUAAUUUACAGUCAGACUCCUACAGUUUUAUGGGUUUUGACCAACGCAGAAUGCCAUGUAUCCACAAUUACUAGCAUCAUGAAAGAUAGUUCCACUGUUCUAAAAAAUCCCCCCUGCUCUCCCUAUUCAUCCCUCCCCUCCCGGCAAUCCCUGGCAACCACCUAUGUUUUUACUGUCCAUAGUUUUGCCUCUCCCAGAGUGUCAUACAGUUGGAAGCAUACUGUAUAUAGCCUUUUCAGGUCAGCGUCUUUCACUUAGCUAUAGUCACUUAAGGUCCUUCCAUGUCUUUUUGUGGCUUGACAGCUCAUUUCUUUUUUAAUCACUGAAUAAUAUUCCAUGGUAUGGGCUUGCUGUCGUUUCUAUUUAGACUUGGUGUUGGCAUUCCCAAUAACUGCAUCUUCCAGCAAGAAGAGGAGAGAGAAAUUAAGAGUGCACAUACCUUGAUGAGCACCAAGUAUUGUAUAGAAUUGUUGAAUCACUACACAGGACACCCGAAACUAACAUGACACUGUAUGUUAACUACACUAGAAUUUAAAAAAAAAAGGGGGGGGGGGGAAGAGAGGAGCAGCAGGUCAGGCCUUUGCUAGAAAGCUUCCCCCAGUCUCUGGUAGCACUACACAAUUUUCUCCAUUCCUCAUCCUGCCAUUGAUUCAGUCUCACUGAUGAUACUUGUGGUACGUAUUUGUAACUAUCUUACACCCUCAACGUUUGAAAUUCCUUUCCAUUUUGGGGGGAUCCAGAGCUGUGCAUGGCUGGUGGAAACCAGGAUGUAACUAUACUACAAAAGGCAAAAGUACCAGACUUUGCCCUCCCACAAACCCCAGCAGGGCUUAGCCGAUCCCAUGCACGUGAUGGAGACUUGGGACAUGGAAUGAGGUACACACAAGCAGGAAGAGUCUGGAAUUUACUCCGGGGGGGGCACUGCUCUGGCAUUGGCAGCGGGGCUGAUGGCUGCAGCUGGUGCACAGUGGGGGCAUUAUCAGCCCCCUAACCAGGAUGCUGUUUGGAGCAAUUGGAAUGCACCAUGAUGACAUCCUUGGACUGACCCAGUGGAUGAGGAACAGAAGCUUUGUAAGAAAAAUCCAUCUGGGUGUGCAGAAAUGCAAAAACUCUUCCAAAAAAUAAGACCAUUGGAGUCACCAAAAUGAGCUAGUUCUGUAUCCCGCUCUUGCAGAUGAGUCUGAAGAAUGUUCCAGCUGCAAACCUCAAUGUGGUCAAUGCCAGUGCCUACAGCCAGGGGCUGAGGGAAGGAGGAGGUUGUAAGUGGAGCUGUUGUGUCCCCCACUUGGAAACCCCUCUGAGGAGAGAAGAGAUGGAUCCCGACCCCUCGGUUUCACCUCCUGUGUUUCUCCAACACUCAAGUGGGCUCCACCACCCAAGCCUCUCUGGUGGCUUCAGGGACUUAUGUUGUGUGCUGAUAACGGAAGACAAAGAAAAUUUGCAACCCGGGGUGUCAGACAGAGAGCUUUUUGCCGGCUUGUCAAGUUAGACAAAGUCUGACCGCGCUGUCCUCAGUGGCCGUUUCUCUGCCGCAUUUUCCUGCCGUCUAGCAUAAAGAGAUUGAGGCUUUCUUGCUGUCAACUAAUUUAUUGUGAGAACCUGUUUUUAGCCCAUCUAACGCAUAGAGUUUUGCUGUUGAUACAGGCCUAGAGGAUCGUGAAAUGUGUUUUAGGGAGUCGGGAGAAAGGUCAUUGAAGAUGAUUGAAGAUUGGUGUGGGGCCCCUGGGUGGCUCAGUCAGUUAAGCGUCUGACUUCAGCUCAGGGCGUGAUCUCACCGGGUGUGAGUUCGAGCCCCGCGUUGGGCUCUGUGCUGACAGCUCGGAGCCAGGAGCCUGCUUCAGAUUCUGCGUGUGUCUCUCUCUCUGCCCGUCCCCACUCGCACUCUGCCCCUUUCUCGCUCAGAAAUAAACAAACAGCAAAAAAUAUAUAUUAAAAAAAAAAGAUGAUUGGUGUAAGGGAUCAUAGAAAUCAUGACAGAUUUCCGAAUUCCACGCGGGGAUCUCGGGACUCACGGCGAAUUCUGGGAUUGUCUACCAAAAUGCUCAGCGGCUUGUCCUCCAGACCACAGGAAGCCAUUACAUUCUUCAGUUUUGAGACGGGUGAUAUAUAAUUCACCGGUCCCUCAUGCAGAAGUUUACUUUGAAGGUUUGAGGAGGACAUACCACUGGCUUUAAUGGUUCCUCAAGCUAACCGUGCACUUGGACAGGUAGAGAAUUCAUCCUCUACAAACUCUCUCGGCCCCAGGAGAGCCUGCUGUCUGAGCCACAGAUCCUGGUGCUUUGGCUUGGAAAGAGAAGACCACUCCCCCCCUCCCGUGCACAGAGAUUGCCCGGAUUAAAAAGGGGGAGGACUGAGGAAACUGAGGCAGAGACAGUUAACAUCUCUGGAAGACACCGUCAACGUCGCCUUCCGAUGAUGUAUACUUAGGGCUGAAUGGGAGGAGGUCCAGAACGCAAGGUGCUGGGCACACAGAGUGGGGAUGAGGCAGCCUGGGUCUAAGAAGGCUUCCUGGAAGCUAGCUAAGGCUGGUUCUCAACUCCGAGGAGCUCUCACCCUAACUGGGCUCCAGCCCAGAUACUCUGACUUCAUUGCUCUGGGGUGAGGCCUGGAAAAUGGCAUUCUUAUAGACUCCUCAGUGAGUCCCAGCUCUAUUUUGAGGUAAGAACCCCCAACUUUGGUAUGAUGCUUCACCAGUUUGCUGGUUCCAGGGAAGAAAAACAACUUUCCGUUGACAUCUAAUAAGGAAGAGGAAGUUUUAAAAAAAAAAUGCAGCACCAAUAUAAAUUAGGAAUAAAUAAGGGGGCACCCGGAUUUGAACCGGGGACCUCUUGAUCUGCAGUCAAAUGCUCUACCCCUGAGCUAUACCCCCUUCUGUUGUGGCCUGGCUUAAUUAAUAUUCUUCGUCUGGACAGCCAUACCCAGACUCCGUGUAAAGCGAUGAGCAGCCGGGACAGACCGCUCUCUCCGUCAAA